rnacentral:rRNA from 1 species
AACUUUUACAAACGGAUCUCUUGGUUCUCGCAUCGAUGAAGAACGCAGCGCAUCGGUGAAGAACGCAGCAAAGUGCGAUAAAUAGCGGGAAUUGCAUAUUCAGUGAAUCAUCGAGUCUUUGAACGCAACUUGCGCUCAUUGGGAUUCCAAUGAGCACGCC